rnacentral:rRNA from 1 species
GACGUAGGAUGCGAGCGUUAUUCGGAUUUAUUGGGCGUAAAGCGUCUGUAGGUGGCUUUUUAAGUCCGCCGUCAAAUCCCAGGGCUCAACCCUGGACAGGCGGUGGAAACUACCAAGCUUGAGCACGGUAGAGGCAGAUGGAAUUCCCGGUGUAGCGGUGGAAUGCGUAGAGAUCGGGAAGAACAUCAGUGGCGAAGGCGGUCUGCUGGGCCGUUGCUGACGCUGAGGCGCGACAGCGUGGGGAGCAAACAGG